UACGUAGGUGGCAAGCGUUGUCCGGAUUUACUGGGCGUAAAGAGCGCGCAGGCGGUCGUUCAAGUCGCGUGUGAAAGCCCCCGGCUCAACUGGGGAGGGUCACGCGAUACUGAUCGACUCGAAGGCAGGAGAGGGUAGUGGAAUUCCCGGUGUAGUGGUGAAAUGCGUAGAUAUCGGGAGAAACACCAGUGGCGAAGGCGACUACCUGGCCUGUUCUUGACGCUGAGGCGCGAAAGCUAGGGGAGCAAACGGG
rnacentral:rRNA from 1 species